rnacentral:sRNA from 1 species
AGAACAACAUCUGUCUUGAGCACAGCAUCUUUAUCAGCUCUGACUUGGGCGGAAAUCGUUCUCCUUUUUUUAAUGUCCUUCCUAGUCAAGUUUCUGAUAGUGCACACCUUCUGCACUAGCUUGGAUGGCGGUGUGCAUGGCAGGGUUAUAAUAUGUUUUGUCACCAUCAAUCAUUUUAAAAAGAGCACAUGUGUAUAAACAACAAUAUCAGUUUUUCUCUCGAAUUGGUAAGGUAAGGUGUGCUGUUCUAGGUACUAAUCAUCGGAGGUGCAAAAAUUAAACAAUAGUUUUACAAUAUUUCUAUUUUUUUAUUUGUUAAUGUUUUUAGAAGUUUAUUGACAUCAGGAUCGCUGGUACACAACCAAAGACGACUUCAUGCAUUUUAAAACUUAGCUGUUAGUUUUUUCUAAUAUUAGGAAUCUAGAAAUCUAGAUAUAAAUAAAAUGUAAUAAUAAUUUUAUAUGAUAUAUUUUGUUUUUCUAUAUCACAGCAUUAAAUGAUAACAUUGUAGAAGAAAACACUGACGAGAGCCAAAAUGUACCCUAAAUAACAGUGUAGAGAAAUCUCUGACGAGAGCCAAAGUGUA